UACGGAGGGUGCGAGCGUUGUUCGGAAUCACUGGGCGUAAAGGGCGUGUAGGCGGUCCGCUAAGUCUGAUGUGAAAGCCCGGGGCUCACCCCCGGAAGUGCAUUGGAAACUGGCGGACUCGAGUCCCGGAGAGGAGACUGGAAUUCCUGGUGUAGCGGUGAAAUGCGCAGAUAUCAGGAGGAACACCGGUGGCGAAGGCGGGUCUCUGGGCCGAUACUGACGCUGAGGAGCGAAAGCGUGGGGAGCGAACAGG
rnacentral:rRNA from 1 species